rnacentral:rRNA from 1 species
CACUGGGGGCAUUGCUUAGUACGGCGAGUGAAGCGGCAAAAGCUCAAAUUUGAAAUCUGGCACCUUCGGUGUCCGAGUUGUAAUUUGAAGAAGGUAACUUUGGAGUUGGCUCUUGUCUAUGUUCCUUGGAACAGGACGUCACAGAGGGUGAGAAUCCCGUGCGAUGAGAUGCCCAAUUCUAUGUAAAGUGCUUUCGAAGAGUCGAGUUGUUUGGGAAUGCAGCUCUAAGUGGGUGGUAAAUUCCAUCUAAAGCUAAAUAUUGGCGAGAGACCGAUAGCGAACAAGUACAGUGAUGGAAAGAUGAAAAGAACUUUGAAAAGAGAGUGAAAAAGUACGUGAAAUUGUUGAAAGGGAAGGGCUUGAGAUCAGACUUGGUAUUUUGCGAUCCUUUCCUUCUUGGUUGGGUUCCUCGCAGCUUACUGGGCCAGCAUCGGUUUGGAUGGUAGGAUAAUGACUAAGGAAUGUGGCUCUACUUCGGUGGAGUGUUAUAGCCUUGGUUGAUACUGCCUGUCUAGACCGAGGACUGCGUCUUUUGACUAGGAUGUUGGCAUAAUGAUCGUAAGCCACACGUCUUGAAAGACGGACCACA